rfam:Schistosoma haematobium scaffold946_1, whole genome shotgun sequence.
AUCCAGCUGACGAGUCCCAAGAGGGGCGAAACGCCUGUCGUGGAU